rnacentral:rRNA from 1 species
AACGCGAAGAACCUUACCUGGGCUUGAACCGCACAGGACCAGCUCUAGAAAUAGGGCCUUCCCGCAAGGGACCUGUGUAGAGGUGCUGCAUGGCUGUCGUCAGCUCGUGCCGUGAGGUGUUGGGUUAAGUCCCGCAACGAGCGCAACCCUUACUCAUAGUUGCUACCCGCAAGGGAGAACUCUAUGAGGACUGCUCCGGAUAACGGAGAGGAAGGUGGGGAUGAGGUCAAGUCAGCAUGGCCUUUAUGUCCAGGGCUACACACGUGUUACAAUGCGCGCCACAAUGCGUCGCGAACCCGCGAGGGGGAGCCAAUCGCAAAAAAGCGCGCUCAGUUCGGAUUGCAGUCUGCAACUCGACUGCAUGAAGCUGGAAUCGCUAGUAAUGGCGCAUCAGAACGGCGCCGUGAAUACGUUCCCGGGCCUUGUA